rnacentral:lncRNA from 1 species
GAUGGGAUAUUUCUAAUAUAUUUUCUUUUCAAAAAAAACUUUAGAAUUAUGAAUUGUAAAAUGUCAACAUUUUCAGGGUUACGUUUAAUUCCAUCUAAAAUGUAAAACUUAUUGUUUUUAUUAUGACCUUUUGAGGUUCUUUUGGUUUUUUUUUACCUUUGAAGACCAAAAUUCAAAAUGGAAAAUAACAAUCAUUUUACCAAAAAAUUACAUGAUGUUUAGUUCUAUGCAAAUCGAGAAAUUAAAACCCGGAAUUUUUUAGAUGGAAGGAGAACUAAACACCCGUGAGUAAUCGGGCACUGUUGUCUGAUGCUUCAUAUUGAAACAACGGAUAGUUGUUGUCAAAAAAAAAAAAACGGGC